rnacentral:rRNA from 1 species
UACGAAGGGGGCGAGCGUUGUUCGGAUUUACUGGGCGUAAAGGGCGCGCAGGCGGCUAUCCAAGUCAGGCGUGAAAGCCCCGGGCUUAACCUGGGAGGUGCGUCUGGGACUGGGUGGCUAGAGUUCGGGAGAGGAGAGUGGAAUUCCCAGUGUAGAGAUGAAAUUCGUAGAUAUUGGGAAGAACACCGGUGGCGAAGGCGGCUCUCUGGACCGAGACUGACGCUGAGGCGCGAAAGCGUGGGGAGCAAACAGG